UGAUCUUGGUGUCAGUUGAAGGUGCCUAAUUAGUGGAGUAUGCAUACCAAAUAUGAAGUCUCUAUCUCUCACGGUUUUAAAGUUAUGGCGAAAGUUCGAAAAAGCUAUUUUUAGCAUAUAGGUCACAGUCAAGGUCACAGACCUUGGUGUCAGUUGAAAGUGCCUAAUUAGUGGAGUAUGCAUACCAAAUAUGAAGUCUCUAUCUCUCACGGUUCAGAAGUUAUGGCGAAAGUUCGAAAAAGCUAUUUUUAGCAUAAAGGUCACAAUCAAGGUCAUAAGGUCAUUGACCUUGGUGUCAGUUGAAAGUGUUUUUGUAGUGGAGUAUCCAUACCAAAUAUGAAGUCUCUAAGUCUCAUGGUUCAAAAGUUAUGGCGAAGGUUAAAGUUGACAACAGACAAACAAACAGACAGACAUACAGCUAAACAGACAGACAGGACAAAAACAAUAUGCGCCCCAAAAAAAUUUGGGUGCAUAAAAACUGUCUUGGAGUUAACAGCAGUUCUCUGUUUCUCCUGAAUUUUAUGUACAAUUUGAUCGGGAUCGGAAGAAUGUUUCAAAAAGUCGGGCUCAGUGAUCAAUUAAUUUAAACAACAGACCGCCAAAAUUUAACCUUGGCCUCCAUGUUGCAACGUCUGCUCUGUCUAAAGGAAGAAGUUUGUUGACCAGACAGCCUGAGAUCGUAUUGCUGUAUCAACCAAAAGAUGCAGAUACACGUAUUUCAUAUGCGCGUCUGUGCAUGAGGAGGAGAUUUCUGAAAAAGAAUAAGUGCUUAUUCAACUUACUGCGAUUUUAACGGGCUUAAAGCUUGGUCCAUGGAUGGUUAUGUUUGAGGAUUUGACAAUUCGACCACAAGUGCUGCUGCAAGAAAUUAAACAUGCAGAGACUUACAAAUUACAAAGAAGUCUGAAGAAAAUUUUUAUUGGACAGAUGGGUGUAAAGCACAGACCUGAGAUAUAAAUUGAAUUGUGAGAAAUAUGAAUCAGGGAUGCAGGUAGAAAAUGGCAAAUGUGAUCCAGAUUGAUAAAAAAUGUCUAAAGUUUUUUCUUGUUUUGUAAAUAUUCAAUGCUAUGUCAAUUGUUAUUUUUUCCCCAAUACCUAAUAGUGUUGAACAUUUCACUCCCACUUUUGCUUAAAUAGAAUGAAUAAAUUUCCAUUUAUUUAAUAUGAAUAUUAAAAAAUGCCACAUUUUUUCCAUGAUGAACUUGUGGCUUAAAUAAGAGUUCUAGUUUUUUUUCCCAUACAUGCUCCUAUUUGUUUGUCAAAGAUAUAAGAUCCAAUACAUUGCUCAUGAACAUAAUGUGUAAUUUUGUUCAUUCAUUUAUAUGUUUUUUUCUCAUAAUGAUAUAAUAAAUUGUAUAUAAUUUU